CCUACGUGAGGCAGCAGUGAGGAAUAUUGGUCAAUGGGCGCGAGCCUGAACCAGCCAAGUAGCGUGAAGGAUGACUGCCCUACGGGUUGUAAACUUCUUUUAUAAAGGAAUAAAGUGAGGCACGUGUGCCUUUUUGUAUGUACUUUAUGAAUAAGGAUCGGCUAACUCCGUGCCAGCAGCCGCGGUAAUACGGAGGAUCCGAGCGUUAUCCGGAUUUAUUGGGUUUAAAGGGAGAGUAGAUGGGUUGUUAAGUCAGUUGUGAAAGUUUGCGGCUCAACCGUAAAAUUGCAAUUGAUACUGGCAGUCUUGAGUACAGUUGAGGUAGGCGGAAUUCGUGGUGUAGCGGUGAAAUGCUUAGAUAUCACGAAGAACUCCGAUUGCGAAGGCAGCUUACUAAACUUCCACUGACAUUGAUGCUCGAAAGUGUGGGUAUCAAACAGGAUUAGAUACCCUAGUAGUC
rnacentral:rRNA from 1 species